UAGUGGCGAACGGGUGAGUAACACGUGGGCAAUCUGCCCUUCACUCUGGGACAAGCCCUGGAAACGGGGUCUAAUACCGGAUAUGAGCCUGGGAGGCAUCUCCUGGGUUGUAAAGCUCCGGCGGUGAAGGAUGAGCCCGCGGCCUAUCAGCUUGUUGGUGAGGUAAUGGCUCACCAAGGCGACGACGGGUAGCCGGCCUGAGAGGGCGACCGGCCACACUGGGACUGAGACACGGCCCAGACUCCUACGGGAGGCAGCAGUGGGGAAUAUUGCACAAUGGGCGAAAGCCUGAUGCAGCGACGCCGCGUGAGGGAUGACGGCCUUCGGGUUGUAAACCUCUUUCAGCAGGGAAGAAGCGAAAGUGACGGUACCUGCAGAAGAAGCGCCGGCUAACUACGUGCCAGCAGCCCGCGGUAAUACGUAGGGCGCAAGCGUUGUCCGGAAUUAUUGGGCGUAAAGAGCUCGUAGGCGGCUUGUCACGUCGAUUGUGAAAGCCCGAGCUUUAACCUCGGGUCUGCAGUCGAUACGGGCUAGCUAGAGUGUGGUAGGGGAGAUCGGAAUUCCU
rnacentral:rRNA from 1 species